AUUGAACGCUGGCGGCAUGCCUUACACAUGCAAGUCGAACGGCAGCACGGGUGCUUGCACCUGGUGGCGAGUGGCGAACGGGUGAGUAAUACAUCGGCACAUGUCCUGUAGUGGGGGAUAGCCCGGCGAAAGCCGGAUUAAUACCGCAUACGAUCUACGGAUGCAAGCGGGGGACCUUCGGCCCUCGCGCUGUGGGGUUGGCCGAUGGCUGAUUAGCUAGUUGGUGGGGUAAAGGCCUACCAAGGCGACGAUCAGUAGCUGGUCUGAGAGGACGACCAGCCACACUGGGACUGAGACACGGCCCAGACUCCUACGGGAGGCAGCAGUGGGGAAUUUUGGACAAUGGGCGAAAGCCUGAUCCAGCAAUGCCGCGUGUGUGAAGAAGGCCUUCGGGUUGUAAAGCACUUUUGUCCGGAAAGAAAUCCUUGGCUCUAAUACAGUCGGGGGAUGACGGUACCGGAAGAAUAAGCACCGGCUAACUACGUG
rnacentral:rRNA from 1 species